rnacentral:rRNA from 1 species
UACGAACUGUGCGAACGUUAUUCGGAAUCACUGGGCUUACAGGGUGCGUAGGCGGCUCAACAAGUCAGGUGUGAAAGCCCCCGGCUCAACCGGGGAACUGCGCUUGAAACUGUUAGGCUCGAGUCAGCUAGAGGUACACGGAACUUCCAGUGGAGCGGUGAAAUGUGUUGAUAUUGGAAAGAACACCAACGGCGAAAGCACUCUGCUGGGCCGACACUGACACUGAGAGACGAAAGCUAGGGGAGCGAAUGGG